ensembl:lncRNA
CUUUUAUCUAAUAAAAUUUGAAGAUUGGGGGAGAGGGGAUCUUACCGAGUUACAAACUGAUGAUGAAGAGCCAGUUUUUAAGGCAUUGUUGGGUCUGGAUGUGUUGUAUUUGGGGUGAGGGGCAUGGACCUACGUGACGAAGUCAUUUCCUUCACAGAGGACCCAAAGAAACGAACUCGCCCUGCCGUAACUAAAAUCUCCAGGGACAUAACAGCUUCCAAGCGGCACACCACACCAGCCUCAGAAGUGACACAAGAGACCCGCAGAGCUCUUGGAAAUGCCGCCCUCAGGACAAGAGCUGGUAUUUUAUUGAGGGUUUGCCAUGUGCUAGGCACACGGCACUAGGAACGUCGCUCGCAUUCAUGCAUUGAAUCCUCCCCAAAUCUAAGAGGUAGAAGCCUUCCUUAUUCCCCACCUGACAGAGGAGGAAACUGAGUCAUGGACAGUUAGGAGGAGAAAAGCAGCGCCUCGCCGCCAGGAGCCCGCCUGACACUCCGCGGUCUUGGUGUUUUCUGUCCUGUUGCAUCGAAACAAUUCCUCAGGACACCAACAUCACCCAAGGCCACUGUGUGACCACGAAGGGUCAAGACGAAAACAGGGCACCUCUGUAAUCAUCCUGAACCCGGACAAAACAAGAACAUUGUCCGAACCCCCAAAAUUGACCAAACAUCCCCUCUCCCAGCUAAUCUGAGCCCUGGUUAGGCCUCUGCUUUGCCAGUGACGGCGGCAGGCUGUCUCUAGUCUGCUCUCCCCAUCUCCCCACCCAGCGAUAGAACCACCUGGGUCCUGGCAGCAUCUAACCCAGAGCAAACCCACUUCCUAAGCCCUCCCCCAAGUCACUCCCCCCCCCCCCAGGGGUACAUGCAAGCUUCUCCUCCUCCUCCUUGCUGCAGUAAGAACCCCAACUUGUUCUCUUCGAGGUGUGUCCCUGGGGGCUUUGGCUGGAGGGCAUUGACAACAGUUCAGUGACUUGCCCGAGGAGGUGACCCAGGCGACAGGUUCCUGCUGCACCAGAGAGGAUGGUGCUCUCCCACCCUGAAAGGUUGGGGCUUACUGCAACGAUUUGGAUUUCACAAGAGCACUGCACUUGCUUUCCAUAUUGUCAUUGCUUGUUUUUGUUUUCCCCCAGAUAGAAAUGCAAAGUCGUGACAGUCACCUGAGAAUCUGUGGCCCUAAGCAUUCCUGGGAGUGGGGCUAGGAAAACAGAAAUGCAGAAACCAGAGUUUGAAACGCCUCCACCCUUCACACCUCCCUCCCCCUCUCGCCCUCCCUCCCUGUCCUACCUCCCUCGUUGCUCCCAGCCCCCGGCCAGCAGGCCAGCACUGCUCUGGCCUCUGCUCGGUGCUCUGAAGGUUAUGCAUCCAGGGGACUCCUCCUCCUCUUCCGACGCUGACACCCGGCGGCUGCUGCACAGUUUCUGUUCCCGGGGGUGGCUGAUGGGUCAGAAAGACAGUGGAGGUGGGGGGUCUCAAGCUGCGCUUGCAGAGCAAGCACAGUUUUUAAUCAGAUCAAUGAAAACAGCAAAGUUUUCUGAUGAUGCCUUCCCUCUCCAGUUGCUUGUUGUGUGUGUGUGUGUGUGUGUGUGUAAAUUGUCAUUUAUUUGGGGUGACUGAGGGAGAAGCGGACAGAGAUGACAGGGAGAAGUCUGACACUCCCAGCCCCCAGCCACUCCCUGGUGGGCCCACUGAAAACUCUGUCUCCUGGUUGGACGGAGAAAGAGGGGUCUACGUACCUUUUGUACCUCGGUCCCCAGCGCUCAGCCACACCCCCCUCCAUGAAUGAAGGCCACACAGUGGAACAUCAGUAGGGAUCAGGGAAAAGAGAGGUUCGCAGAUUUCACAUACACACGGACACGCAAACACACAGAUAGAUGCGUCCCCAGUGCCCGCAGCCCCCAACACACUGGGAGUGAUCUGUGGGGUCCCUACAAACUCGCCCCCCCCCCAUAUGACCAUGCUCGCUCCCGGCCUCAUCAAACAUUUAUCAUGUAGCGCUCCUGCCUCGCGCCGCCGUGGGGGACAGUGAGGUAAAUAUGCCUUCCUUACCCCUAAGGAGCGUGGAAUCUAAUUAUCUUCUAGAGAUCCUUUGGGGAUCUGCUUAAUAAAUCAAUACAAAUGAUUUAUAAUUAGAAUAUCAAUUAUGUGUAUGCAAAUGUGGCCUUCUGGGUGGUUGGGAACAAGUCCUAAGGAUUGAAAAGACUCUAUCCCCCCACCUCUACCCCAAAUAGUUAAUUACGUUAUUUUGUUCAUUCAUCAAACAUUUACUGAACACCUUUUCAUGCCAGGCACAGAGAUGGGGACCAAGGAUCCAUUCCUGGUCACUCACAGUCAGGAGGGAAGAACCAAGGGGGUUCUGGCGGCGGGGAGAGCUUGCUUCUGGGGGAGGAAGGGUGCCGGCGUUGGUCCUCUUCCCCCGCCCCCUAGACCUCCCAACAUCCGCCUCGAUGGCUGAGACCCUCAGCUGAGCAGGCGGCCCUCCCAAGUCCUCAUGCCUGAGAUUGGAAGGGCCCCCAUCUCUGGACAAGGGUUAGGCCCCACGGCUGCACCCCUGUUUGCAAAGCUGUCGGGCAGCUCUGACUCUGAUCUCCCCACUCCGCAUCCAGGCUGGUUCUGAGUUGCUGGGUCUACGUGGGUUUUAAGAAGUCCUGUGUACAAGCUAGUCCUGAAACUCGAAGGCCCGGUGACUGGAUCUUCGUCCAUUCCUUCAUCCAUCCGUUCAUUUCUUCACUCGCUCCUCUGUCGAUUGCUGUCUUCAAGCCCUUGCUAGGUGCUGGAGGAAGAUUAGCCCUGAGCUAACUGCUGCCAAUCCUCCUCUUUUUGCUGAGGAAGACUGGCCCUGAGCCAACAUCCAUGCCCAUCUUCCCCCACCCCAUAUGUGGGAUGCCUACCACAGCGUGGCUUGCCAAGUAGUGCCAUGUCUGCACCUGGGAUCCGAACCGGUGAACCGUGGGUGGCUGAAGCAGGAUGUGUGCACUUAACUGCUGUGCCACUGGGACACUGGCUUUCGAGCCCUGAGCUACCAUAUGGAAAGUCCCGCCAUCUGAAGCCUCCGUCUGGAGGGAGCAUGCGGACAAACCUGUGAAGUCAGAGAGAAGUGGCCAUGGAGGCCCCGUGUUCCAGCUGGUUGGGUCCUCCCAGCCAGGCGCCAGCCAUGUGAGCACCUGAGCCUUUUGAUGAUUCCAGCCUGGUGAGUGGAGAAUACGGAUUUGCCCAAAGAGAGGUCCGGCCUUGGCCCCGCUUCUGCAGGAUAAUCUCUGGGCCCUUGGAAUGUCAUGCCUGAUAAGAGUGUCUUUGUUUGCCUGAGGACCUUGAGUCAUACUGGAUAGUCUUCACAACGUGAUUUAGGGCAGGGGCUGGCAAUAUGCAUUUAGUCUGAGGGAGGGGGCUGGCCACACCACAAAGACCCACAGUGUGACCUAGGGUGGAGGCUUGAGUCACGUGAUAGCGUGGAAUCUGAAGACUGAAAUCAACCACAUGGGCAAUCAGUGGAUCAAUCACGCCUACAUAGUGGAACCCUAAUAAAAACUAUGGACACAGAAGCUCAGGUGGACUUCCCA